rnacentral:tRNA from 1 species
GGCUUCGUAGCUCAGCUGGUAGAGCGUGCGCGUAGAAAGCGUAGGUGGCGUCCAUGCGUGGGUUCGAAUCCCACCGACGCCA